GGCGGAGAGGGUGGGGGACCUUUGGGCGGUGCGAAGGUGGCGUGGGAGGCGGUGAAAAAGAUCAACGUUUUUCAACUUUAUGCAAAUCGCUAGCGGCGACCGCUGGGCGAUGACCAAUCAUAUCGAUUGGUUCCCAUGACGAAUUUGACUCCGUGCGACCCAAGGCUGGAGACUUUCUUCAGCAAAGAUGGCUGACAAAAAUGCUAUGAUGGAAGCACAUGGACUCCUGAAACAACCAGCAAACCAGGCUGUCGUCUUGUGAAACAUGUAAUUGUCAAUACCUUCUGAUGUAAAGAAUCUAGCUAGCAAAAGCAUUUACUGCAAAUUGAAUGUACAAUUUUGUAUGCUUGCCUUGCUGAUAUUUGCCAUGUAAUGCAGAUAGAUGAAAUAACGUAGCUAGCUAUGUUCUUGUUUAUUGUGCAGUGGAGGAUUAAAAAAAAUACCUGUAUGCCUAUGGAUGUGUAGCUAGUUAUGUAGCCCAUCUGUGUAUGGUCCAUAAAACAUUUGGUAUAGAUAUUAGUUCAGAACCUAGCUAUGAACCUCAGCUAUCAUAACCAGUUCUAUCAACUUCAAAACAGUCUGAAUGACAUUAAUGAAACCUAUGGAUUACCAAAGUCUAAUGGUUUUAAAUGACUGCUUUGUAUUGUCUAGAAACUCACUUGUAGAUUUCGCUUGCAGUAGGUCUCUUAAAAAAGAGAAGCCGUGCAAGGUUAUACUUUUGUUCUUUUGUGCACCUAACCCUGGCCCUGAUAUGCAAUGUCUCCAAAUGUCCCCUCUGAUUUUAAAUCAAGAUCUGGUUUUGGUAUUUUUCAUUUAAAUGUACACAGCCUGUUGUCAAAAAUUGAUGGGGUUAGGAUUUGGGCUAAAUCAACUGAUGCUGAUGUAAUUGUGUUUUCUGAAACCUGGCUCAGCAAGUCUGUUUUUGAUAAUGAUAUUUGUAUUAUGGGUUACAAUGUUUAUCACACUGAUUGGGUUAAGAAAGGUGGGGGUGUGGCUAUAUAUGUAAAAACGAAAUUCCCUGUAAGUGUGGCAAAGUCUGAAACUAUUUGUAAACAGUUGGAAUUUCUUGCUUUGAAUAUUGAGGUUUCAAAGGGCUUCUCUAUAACUGUGAUUGGCUGUUAUAGACCCCCCUCUGCUCUCUAUAACUGUGAUUGGCUGUUAUAGACCCCCCUCUGCUCUCGGUGAUGCAUUUUCUUCUCUGAUGAACCUUAGGUCUAAACUUCUUUACAGUGAAAUGACCUUGAUUGGUGAUCUCAACUGGUGUUGGUUAAAGCCGGUGUCUGAUGAUUUAAAAAUGUUUUGUAAUUCUAUGAAUCUUACCCAGUUGAUUAACUCGCCCAAAUCUUAAAUGCCCAGAAAAAUCUACCCUGAUUGAUUUGAUAUUGACAAAUGUUCCACAUAAAUAUUCUGCGGUUGGUGUUUUUUGUAAUGAUUUAAGUGACCAUUGUGCUGUUGUUGCUGUUAGAAAUACUAAGGUCCCAAAGACAAACCCACGUUUUAUUCAUAAGAGAAAUUUGAAGUGUUUUAAUGAGCAGGCUUUCGUUCAUGAUUUGUUUUAUUUUAACUGGAGCACAAUUGAGCUUAUUCCUGAUGUGGAAACUGUCUGGAAAUUCUUUCAUGAUGGUUUUUCCCAAAUAGUAAACAAACAUGCCCCAUUCCGCAGGUUCAGGGUUAAAGGGCGGGAUAAUCCAUGGUUUUCUUCUGAGCUGUCUUGUAUUUUUCACAACUGUAAUCUAGCCUGGGCUAAAGCAAGGAAAUCAUGUUCUGAUGCUGAUUGUCUUAUUUUUAGGCAGUUACGAAACAAGUGUUCUUUUCUUCUCAGGAAGGCCAAGUCUGAAUAUUUUAUGUCUGUUACCACUGAUAACCUGAAUGACCCUAGAAAGUUCUGGAAGGCUAUUAAGUCUAUGUCUGGUAACAGUAAUGUUAAUGAAUUACCGUCAUGUGUUUUGAAGGUCUCUGUUGCUAUAUAUGACAAAACUGAAAUGCUGAA